GUAAGGAACACACAUAUACAAUACCGUUUGAAUUUCAAAUAAUCAGGAUUUUGUGUGUGGACCUCAGA
ensembl:ncRNA mir-2500 mir-2500 stem loop